AGGAAGUUGAAUACGUUCCCUUGCUGUAGGUGGCUUAGAAACAGGUGGCGGCUGAAGUACGGGAGGUGGGGGUGGAAGUUGUUGCCUGAGGCCAUGCUGACGCGCUGAGGGUGGUGUCUGAACGGGAGAUGAUGCCGCAGGAACAGAUGGACCAGCACUAACUGGUGUGGCUGGAGAUUGGGGUGGGGCAUCUACCCGUGACUUCACUUCUUGGGGAUCAACAUACUCAGCCACUAGGAGGCGCCCUCCAUUUGGAGGCCAUUGAAGAUUGUAGAGA
rnacentral:lncRNA from 1 species